rnacentral:rRNA from 1 species
UAUAUAAGUAAGUUAGAUUUAUUAGGUGAAAUUUUAAAUUUAAUAAAUUAUAUAGUUGAAUUAUUGAAGUUAUGAAAUUUUAGAAAUAAACUAGGAUUAGAUACCCUAUUAUUUAAAAUGUAAAUGAAUAAUCUAGAAUAGUAUUAGUUAUGUUCUUGAAAUUUAAAAAAUUUGGCGGUAUUUUAGUCUAUUCAGAGGAACCUGUUUUAUAAUUGAUAAUCCACGUUGGACCUUACUUAAUUUGAUAAAGUUUGUAUACCGCCGUCGUCAGAAUGUCUUAAAAAAGAAAUAAUUUUCUAAAAUUUGAAAUAUAAAUUAUGUCAGGUCAAGGUGCAGCUUAUAGUUAAGUAAAAAUGGGUUACAAUAAAUAUAUUUUUGAAUAAAAAGUUGAAAUAUUUUUUUGAAAAUGGAUUUGAUAGUAAAAUAAAAAAGAAAAAUUAUUUGAUUUUAGCUCUAAAAUAUGCACAUAUCGCCCGUCGCUCUCGUUAUUAAAAUGAGAUAAGUCGUAACAUAGUAGAUGUACCGGAAGGUGUAUCUAGAAAGA